AACGGAGGAGGCUAGCGUUAUCCGGAUUUAUUGGGCGUAAAGCGCGCGUAGGCGGCCUCGAAAGUUGGGGGUGAAAUCUCUUGGCUUAACCAGGAGCGGUCCUUCAAUACUUCGGGGCUAGAGGUCAGCAGAGGAAGGUGGAAUUCCCGGUGUAGCGGUGAAAUGCGUAGAUAUCGGGAGGAACGCCAUUGGCUAAAGCGACCUUCUGGGCUGACCCUGACGCUGUGGCGCGAAAGCGUGGGUAGCAAACCGG
rnacentral:rRNA from 1 species